rnacentral:rRNA from 1 species
GCGUGAAUGAUGAAGGCCCUCGGGUUGUAAAGUUCUUUUGGUGGGGAAGAUGAUGACUGUACCCACAGAAUAAGCUCCGGCUAACUUCGUGCCAGCAGCCGCGGUAAUACGAAGGGAGCUAGCGUUGUUCGGAAUUACUGGGCGUAAAGGGUGCGUAGGCGGUUUAGUUAGUCAGAUGUGAAAGCCCCGGGCUCAACCUGGGAACUGCGUUUGAUACUGCUAAACUUGAAUUCGGUAGAGGUGAGUGGAAUUCCCAGUGUAGAGGUGAAAUUCGU